UGGAUCACCUCCUAACAGGGAGACAACAACUGAUUUUGAUGUCUGAGUAAUUUAUUCUCAGGCCGAAAUCCUGUCAUCUCGAAGGUCGAUCGGUACCUCAACUUGAGGGUCUAGAGAAUUUAUUCUGCUAGGCCAACUCAAUUUCAGUUCCUAAACUUUGUCUAGGUCACCCACUAAGGGUAAAUAACUCCUGGGCCAUUAGCUCAGGUGGUUAGAGCGCACCCCUGAUAAGGGUGAGGUCCCUGGUUCAAGUCCAGGAUGGCCCAUUCGUGUUUGGGGGUUUAGCUCAGUUGGUAGAGCGCCUGCUUUGCAAGCAGGAUGUCAGCGGUUCGAGUCCGCUAACCUCCAUCCAACAGGAAGCCCCUUAGUUCGAAUUCUGAAAGGAGUUCCUGGUGAGGUGACAGAGAUGAAUUCGGAACUGGCAUUGAGAAAUGGCCAGAAAGCAACGCUGAGUCACGUGACUCCAGCCUCGUUUCAUUCCAGAGUUGAUGAUCUAACAAGAGAUCAACCGGUUGAAACGAUGCUGGACUCAAGGCUUUUAACCAAAGCCUUAAGUUUCAGCAGAACCUUGACAACUGCAUAGGUAAGUCUGGAAAUAAAGCAUCUCAUGGAUGCCCAGAUGCAAAAGAGAUCAAGUGAGGGUGAAUAGCCUGAGCUUGAAAUUUUAGUGUUUGGGAAAAUUCUAUUGAGUUUUUAGAGCCGAGAAAUCCAAUGGUUCUUUUCAGCCAUCCAAGUUAACUGCGUGGAAGGCUAGAAGAGUUUGAUCCUGAUAUUCAAGUCUGAUUGAGCUGACCUGAAAGGGUGAGCUUGAGAAGAUACUGAAUCCAGAGAGAAUGGGCCUCAACAGCCUGAAGCCAUUGGAGGAUAAUUUGGUCAAGCUACAAAGGGCUCACGGUGGAUACCUUGGCACACAGAGGCGAUGAAGG
rnacentral:tRNA from 1 species